rnacentral:rRNA from 1 species
GCUUUGGUGCCUUCGGGGAACUCUGAGACAGGUGCUGCAUGGCUGUCGUCAGCUCGUGUUGUGAAAUGUUGGGUUAAGUCUCGCAACGAGCCGCAACCCUUUAUCCUUUGUUGCCAGCGGUUAGGCCGGGAACUCAAAGGAGACUGCCAGUGAUAAACUGGAGGAAGGUGGGAUGACGUCAAGUCAUCAUGGCCCUUACGAGUAGGGCUACACACGUGCUACAAUGGCGCAUACAAAGAGAAGCGACCUCGCGAGAGCAAGCGGACCUCAUAAAGUGCGUCGUAGUCCGGAUUGGAGUCUGCAACUCGACUCCAUGAAGUCGGAAUCGCUAGUAAUCGUGGAUCAGAAUGCCACGGUGAAUACGUUCCCGGGCCUUGUACACACCGCCCGUCACACCAUGGGAGUGGGUUGCAAAAGAAGUAGGUAGCUUAACCUUCGGGAGGGCGCUUACCACUUUGUGAUUCAUGACUGGGGUGAAGUCGUAACAAGGUAGGCGUAGUGCU